rnacentral:lncRNA from 1 species
GUCACCUAUCAAUAUAAACUAGUGUUUUGAAAAGUUCAUUAUUUUGAAACUGAGAAACAAACUACUUUCCCUUAAAAAAAAAACAAUUAACAGCUAUGAUAAAAUCUUUAAAUUUCAGACUUUUCAUAUAAUUUUGUUUUGCUCAUACAUCGGUGACAAACAUAUAUAAAUGAGAAUUAUCAAAUCAUCAGCCUCAAGUCUUUAAAUAGACCUAAAUCAAACUUGAUUCAUCAAACACCUUGUUUUAAACUUAGCAGAACAAUUAAUAUGCUGGUCAAUGCCCCAUGUCCUCUGCAAAUUGGAUAACUGUAAAGAAAAUCCUUAAAUAAUAAACAAUUGUUUCUUUGAUCCAAAAAAUUGAAUAUAAGGGGUAGGGGUAUACAAUAAUCAACUAAUGCAUAGGUUGUCUGAUUUGAUUUCAGUAAAUGUCAAUAAAUCAUUUUUAUGAUUGAAAAAUAAGGG